CUAUGACUGAAAUCCUGUGUCAAAAAGGGGACUGGUGGUUUCCAGGGCCAGGGACAGAAAUGAGGAGGCCCAGCCAGGAAAUGUUGGAGCUGGAUGGGGGUGCCGGUGGCACCACACGGAGGAUGUACCCAGUGCUCCUGCUUCUUUUCCCUUGGCGAGGCUGAGUCCCGUGAGCCACACCUCAGGACAAAAAUGACUUGUUAAUCAAGACUUGUUUGGGGAAGAAAGGAGUGAAAGCCAGGAUCAAUAGCUCAGCCCCCUUCUGAGGGCGCUUCCAGGUCUCGAGUACCCCACACUCUGGCCCCACAACCCCGCGUAUGGAAUUGAGCUUUUAGUGCUAAGAUCUUAAUACAAAAGGGAAAACCUGAGCACAAGGGCACAGCGCUACAGGCUGGAAAACGGUUGAAUUAACUCCUACGUAUCAGGUGAUGAUGGGCCCAGGCCCUUGAAGUUAAGAUGUUUUCUUUCAAAACACGCAUCUUUACAUCUUUAUUUUAUAUAUAUAUUUUUUUUUCUUUUUUUUUUCUUUUGC
rnacentral:lncRNA from 1 species